UUUCUUUUUUUCUUUUUUUCUUUUUUUUUCCCUCUCCUUAUCUCGUUUCACCUUACCCGUCGAGACCUCCCCCCCAAUCUUCAUCUUCUUCAUCCGCCGCCCAACCCCUUCACGCCGCUCGUUGCCCUUCACUACUGUCGCCGAUUGUCAAACCCAUGCCGUCAGUUUCGUCGAUGGCAGCUUCCAUCAUGCAAAGGGACGCCCCUAGUUCCAUCACCGUCAGUUUCUUCGCUACGUCCCUCUAGCGCUCACACCCGAAGGUCGUUCGACGCCUUCUUCACUGGUCAAAUCAGCGUCGCAGGUAAGUCCACCGAGCUGCCUUCAAUCAGUUCCACCACCAAGUCCGUUCACGUCAGUCAUCGUUAUUCGUCUUAGACCCGCCAGAUCCGACAUCCAGCCAUUGUUCUCCUUGGUUUCGCCAAUCACCACCAUCGGGAACUCCACGACUGGUGGGGGAUCUAGUGGGUAAAGAGAUUCAUGAAUUUUUUUUUUGGUUUUCUUUGGUUAAUUUUGAUUACCCACUUGAUUUUGGUUUGGAUUUUAAUUUACCCAUUAUGGUUGGAUGCUAGAUUUGGAGGUUUGAAGGUUUUGAGAUACUGUCCAACGGGUCGAAGGUUGUUUUGGUGUGUCAUAAGUUAUUUUCCAGCAGAUUUGAAGUUGUUUCAAAGGAUUUUAGUGAGUAAGAAGGUUUUGAAACCCUUUUUGGUUGAUUGUUAUUGCUAGAAAUUGGUUAUGUGAGCUUUAAUUGUGACUUAUGCAUAGGUUCGAGUUCAUUGGUGAAGUAAUAAAGCAGAUUUGAAUUUUAGCCUAAUUUUUGGGUAAGUCGUGUAAGUUUGGAAUGAUUGGUUUGUUGGAUUUGGGCUUAAAAGUUAAAAGUGAUUUUUGAUUUGUGUUCUAUGAUUUUUGAAGUGUUGGAAAGAGUUGAGUUGUUGUCCAAAUAGAUUUGAGAUCAAUCUUUGUAAGGUUUUGGUAAGUUUGGAGGUUAGAUUAAUAGUUCUUCGUUACUUAUUGAAGUAUUGGUUAAAUAAUUGAGUUAUUUUCAAUUUUUGAUGUUCAAUUCAAAGAUUUCAAGGGGUUGAAAGCAAAGCUAAUGAUGUUUGGACGUUUUGAUAGGUAUUGAGGCCUUGAAACUCUUUUGGAAUUGUUACAUAGUUGCUGGAAUUUGCAUUUUGUAACCAUUAUUAUUGAACUUUUCGUAGGUUGGAUUACUUUGUUGUAGUUUUGAAGUGGCAUUCGAAUGAUGUUUAUUUAAUGAAUCUGUAUGAUAUAUGUAUUAAUUAUUGGCUUUGUAUUGUAGCGUCUUUUACAAGUGGGAACUGUCGAAUGUAGGUAUUACGUUAUGAGAUAUACACGAGAAAUCGUGACUAAAGAGAAGAAUAUUAUAACAGAUGUGAUUGAUACGAGGAGCUUGUACUCGUAACUUGAAUUCGAUGAAGUACGCGUGGAAUGGGCUGAAUAUUUAGGUCGCUAUAUCUGAUGGACUUCCUAUAAAUUGUGUAUGUGGCUACAUGGGAAUGCUCAAAACUUUUUUUAUGUAAAUGUUUUGUUAAACCAUUAUAGGUUAUAUACUUCAAAGAAAUGUGUGGUGGAGGAUAGAACUUUAAUCAUGUGAUUUUUGGAAUACAUAGCACAUAUAGAUUGGUCGUACAAUUAUGGAAUUAUCAUAUAUUGGGGUGGGUUGAUAGAGUAUAUACUGUUGUACGAUUCGUCUUGUAAAUUUUGGAAUUGUUCAUAUAGACAUGAGUAAUAGAAGAAUGGAAUUGUUUAUUUUAGUA